rnacentral:ncRNA from 1 species
CUACUAAAUCAGGCGAUAUUGUAGGAGAUUGUGAUGGUCCUAGCGGGUGUUGACGCAAUGUGAUGUGAUUUCUGCCCAGUACUCUGAAUGUCAACGUGAAGAAACUCAAGCAAGCGCGGGUAAACAACGGGAGUAACUAUGACUCUCUUAAGCCCAUUUUAGGGAUACUGAUAGCAGACCCGACAAGUCACUCAAUAUGGAAAAC